rnacentral:rRNA from 1 species
UUAAUGAGAGUUUGAUCCUGGCUCAGGACGAACGCUGGCGGCGUGCCUAAUACAUGCAAGUAGAACGCUGAAGAGAGGAGCUUGCUCUUCUUGGAUGAGUUGCGAACGGGUGAGUAACGCGUAGGUAACCUGCCUUGUAGCGGGGGAUAACUAUUGGAAACGAUAGCUAAUACCGCAUAACAAUGGAUGACACAUGUCAUUUAUUUGAAAGGGGCAAUUGCUCCACUACAAGAUGGACCUGCGUUGUAUUAGCUAGUAGGUGAGGUAAUGGCUCACCUAGGCGACGAUACAUAGCCGACCUGAGAGGGUGAUCGGCCACACUGGGACUGAGACACGGCCCAGACUCCUACGGGAGGCAGCAGUAGGGAAUCUUCGGCAAUGGGGGCAACCCUGACCGAGCAACGCCGCGUGAGUGAAGAAGGUUUUCGGAUCGUAAAGCUCUGUUGUAAGUCAAGAACGGGUGUGAGAGUGGAAAGUUCACACUGUGACGGUAGCUUACCAGAAAGGGACGGCUAACUACGUGCCAGCAGCCGCGGUAAUACGUAGGUCCCGAGCGUUGUCCGGAUUUAUUGGGCGUAAAGCGAGCGCAGGCGGGUUGAUAAGUCUGAAGUUAAAGGCUGUGGCUCAACCAUAGUUCGCUUUGGAAACUGUCAAACUUGAGUGCAGAAGGGGAGAGUGGAAUUCCAUGUGUAGCGGUGAAAUGCGUAGAUAUAUGGAGGAACACCGGUGGCGAAAGCGGCUCUCUGGUCUGUAACUGACGCUGAGGCUCGAAAGCGUGGGGAGCGAACAGGAUUAGAUACCCUGGUAGUCCACGCCGUAAACGAUGAGUGCUAGGUGUUGGAUCCUUUCCGGGAUUCAGUGCCGCAGCUAACGCAUUAAGCACUCCGCCUGGGGAGUACGACCGCAAGGUUGAAACUCAAAGGAAUUGACGGGGGCCCGCACAAGCGGUGGAGCAUGUGGUUUAAUUCGAAGCAACGCGAAGAACCUUACCAGGUCUUGACAUCCCGAUGCUAUUUCUAGAGAUAGAAAGUUACUUCGGUACAUCGGUGACAGGUGGGCAUGGUUGUCGUCAGCUCGUGUCGUGAGAUGUUGGGUUAAGUCCCGCAACGAGCGCAACCCCUAUUGUUAGUUGCCAUCAUUCAGUUGGGCACUCUAGCGAGACUGCCGGUAAUAAACCGGAGGAAGGUGGGGAUGACGUCAAAUCAUCAUGCCCCUUAUGACCUGGGCUACACACGUGCUACAAUGGUUGGUACAACGAGUUGCGAGUCGGUGACGGCGAGCUAAUCUCUUAAAGCCAAUCUCAGUUCGGAUUGUAGGCUGCAACUCGCCUACAUGAAGUCGGAAUCGCUAGUAAUCGCGGAUCAGCACGCCGCGGUGAAUACGUUCCCGGGCCUUGUACACACCGCCCGUCACACCACGAGAGUUUGUAACACCCGAAGUCGGUGAGGUAACCUUUUGGAGCCAGCCGCCUAAGGUGGGACAGAUGAUUGGGGUGAAGUCGUAACAAGGUAGCCGUAUCGGAAGGUGCGGCUGGGUCACCUCCUUUCUAAGGAA